ACUUUUUCUCGGCAACUGAUGUGAAAUAAUGGCAAACGUGCAAUGACCAGUACAUCACUUAACAUUUAUUCUGCGGUAUUCUGCUAUCUUAACUGAAGGUCGCCAAGAAUUAAAAAUUACCUGAAGGCACUACGUGAAUGGUGUUCACUGUACCUUGGUGGGUGUUGUUCACGGUGGCCACUGUGACUAUUUAUCGUUCAUUGUGCACGAAUAUGUUUAAUUAGCU
rnacentral:lncRNA from 1 species